rnacentral:rRNA from 1 species
ACUCCUACGGGAGGCAGCAGUGGGGAAUAUUGGACAAUGGGCGGAAGCCUGAUCCAGCCAUGCCGCGUGUGUGAAGAAGGCCUUAUGGUUGUAAAGCACUUUAAGCGAGGAGGAGGCUACUAGUAUUAAUACUACUGGAUAGUGGACGUUACUCGCAGAAUAAGCACCGGCUAACUCUGUGCCAGCAGCCGCGGUAAU